CACUUUCAUUGUGCACUCGGGGUGCAUAAACUAUAUUUUGAUUUCGCGGCUCCUCUCCGGAAACCACCGACCACCACUUGUCCUCCUCGCCCUCCUCACUCUCCCUCGCAUUGCUGCUCCAUCACCAGAGCUGGCAUCCACCCCGUCCUUGGUCUCACUUUCUCUCUUCUGUAGGUGAGGUCUACAAACAGGGGCUUUGUCGCUGAUACUCUCGGGUCUCCAUCGGCUGCUUCUUCCUUGCCGGAGUUUCGGGCUGCUUCUCUCACUUUCGCCUCACCAAACCCCGCCGUUGCCAGCCGAGGAUUUAACGGUCAAAGUGGUGCUGAUUUUGUAUGUGAGGAUGGUCAAUAAUAGUUGGGAAAUCAUUCAUAUUCCAGGCAAGCCACCUUUCUCACCCACCCAACAACCUACAGUCGACGUCUUUGCAUCAAUUGUUGAUCCAAAACAUGCAAACACUUUAAUCAGGAAAUUAAAUAAAAUUGCCCCAUUUGAAAAUCUUCGGCAUGUGAAGCGAGUGCGUAAGAGUUGUUCCAAUGGGAAAGCUGAAUUGUCCAUGAUUUUAUGUCUAACGGGUGAAGAUGGCACCGAGCUGGGUAGCAUGCCCAUGGACUUGCUAGAGCUCACCAAUUGCUAUCAGUUGAGUCCCUUUGUAACUCAAGUUUGCAAAUAUGCUGCGACAACGAAAGAAGAGUGGGAAGAACAGUGCAAAUUGUGGCCUACAUCAUUUCAUCCUCCAACAUACAAUAUCGAGGGCAUUACUGGCUUUAGUGAAGAAAACUCAACUAGGAUUUUCAACUAUAUGAAUUUUGCGCUUAAGUUGGCAAAAUCUGCUGGCGAUCAGUUUGUUAAUGCUGCGGUUAUUGUGGACCCAUCCUUAAACAAAAUAAUUACUAGUGCAUGUGAUGAAAUCUCUUCGUGGAACAUGCAUCUUGAUGGCCAUGAAUCACACUCGCUAGACGUGGUUGAAGCCACAACAUCUCAUGAUGAUGCCAAUGGAUGUGCGUUAUUGAAGUCUAAUUUGAAUGGCUCUUUUAAUGUUCCCAAGUCAUCAUCCAGCAGAAUUUCUUGUUUGAACCCGUGGCAGUGGUCUCAUCAACAUCUGUCAUCAUCAAGUUCUUGCUUUUGGCACCCGUUGCGACAUGCUGCUAUGGUUGCAAUUGAAUACGCUGCUGCUAGGGAUAGACGUCUGUUCCCAACUAUGGAAGAAUCUGAUGAGAAAUACGUUCCAUUGGAUCCCAAUGUGACUUCAGCUUCAGCUGUAGGAUUGCCGGCCAAGCGACAGAAGACAAAGUUAGCCAAUGUGAAGAAUGGUGAUGAUAUUUCAGCUGAUGGUUUUCUUUCCAAAUCAGAGAGACCUUAUCUGUGUACUGGUUGUGAUAUUUAUCUUGCUUGGGAACCAUGUGCAAUGUGUGCGAUGGCUCUUGUUCAUCAAAGAAUAAAGCGUAUAUUCUAUGCUUUUCCAAAUCCACAUACGGGUGCUUUGGGCACUGUAUACAGACUACAGGGUGAGAAAAGCUUGAAUCAUCACUAUGCAGUUUUCCAAGUUAUACUGCAUAAUGAAGCUCUUGCAAGUGUUGAAGAAUCAAUAACAGUAGAGAAAGGUGAAUAGUGAAAACGGGGAAACACUUGCAUGUGAUUGAUCAAAUAGACAUGUCCGUGGUCCAACAUUGACGUCUUUAGGUAUGCAAGUUAAAUGCUUUCAUCUAACAGAUCUUGCCUCAAGGAAAGGAGCGAGAGAAAUAGGAGCUGCAGUUAACCUCCUUAGACGCUUGUGCUCUUCGAAGGGGAUCGAUAUGAAGGAUUUCUUACCGAUCAACUCAACCGUUGAGCGCGGCCAACCCGGCCUGAAAUGUUCAUCAUCGUUUAAGACUUUUCUGCAUGUUUCAGGUGUUGUCACCAUUACACUUGGAUUCCCAAACAUGAACGCUUUGUAAAUUCCUGUUUUGCCAAAUCUGACCAAUAACCAAAUAUAUACAU